rnacentral:rRNA from 1 species
AGCAGCCGCGGUAAUUCCAGCUCCAAUAGCGUAUAUUAAAGUUGUUGCAGUUAAAAAGCUCGUAGUUGAAUUUCGGAAUCUGUCCGUUGGUCGGGCUUCACUGUCCGUACUGAUGUGAUGGGUUCUUACCUUCUGAAUAACCAUCAUGUCAUUAAUUUGGUGUGUUGGGGAAGCAGGACUAUUACCUUGAAAAAAUUAGAGUGCUCAAAGCAGGCUAGUGCCUGAAUACAUUAGCAUGGAAUAAUAAAAUAGGACGGCAUGGUUCUAUUUUGUUGGUUUCUAGGAUCACCGUAAUGAUUAAUAGGGAUAGUUGGGGGCAUUAGUAUUCAAUUGUCAGAGGUGAAAUUCUUGGAUUUAUUGAAGACUAACUUCUGCGAAAGCAUUUGCCAAGGAUGUUUUCAUUAAUCAAGAACGAAAUUAGGGGAUCGAAGACGAUCAGAUACCGUCGUAGUCUUAACCAUAAACUAUGCCGACUAGGGAUCGGACGAUGUUAAUUUUAUAAUGACUCGUUC